CGUGUAGGCGGCUUCGUGUGUCCCAUGUGAAAGCCCUCGGCUCAACCGGGGAACUGCAUGGGAAACUGCGGAGCUUGAGUCCGGGAGAGGUGAGUGGAAUUCCCAGUGUAGCGGUGAAAUGCGUAGAUAUUGGGAGGAACACCGGUGGCGAAGGCGGCUCACUGGACCGGUACUGACGCUGAGACGCGAAAGCCAGGGGGAGCAAAACGG
rnacentral:rRNA from 1 species